AUUGAACGCUGGCGGCAUGCCUUACACAUGCAAGUCGAACGGCAGCACGGGUGCUUGCACCUGGUGGCGAGUGGCGAACGGGUGAGUAAUACAUCGGAACGUACCUUAUCGUGGGGGAUAACGCAGCGAAAGCUGUGCUAAUACCGCAUACGCCCUGAGGGGGAAAGCGGGGGAUCGAAAGACCUCUCGCGACUAGGGCGGCCGAUGCCUGAUUAGCUUGUUGGUGGGGUAAAAGCCCAACAAGGCGACGAUCAGUAGCUGGUCUGAGAGGACGAUCAGCCACACUGGGACUGAGACACGGCCCAGACUCCUACGGGAGGCAGCAGUGGGGAAUUUUGGACAAUGGGGGCAAUCCUGAUCCAGCAAUGCCGCGUGAGUGAAGAAGGCCUUCGGGUUGUAAAGCUCUUUUGUCAGGGAAGAAACACCGGCUCUAACACAGUCCGGGAAUGACGGUACCUGAAGAAUAAGCACCGGCUAACUACGUGCCAGCAGCCGCCGUAA
rnacentral:rRNA from 1 species